rnacentral:lncRNA from 1 species
CGGGAGUCACCUGAGCCACCACCCUGUGUUCCCUCCUCUUCUUGGAGUGAAAUAACAGCCCGGCUGAUGCCAUGAGGUGAAACUAGGGCCCAGGAGCCGCCGGCCCCUCAUGGGACAGACUGUACGGCCCAGGCUCCUCCGGGCCUGGCCAGCGUGGUUAUUUAUAAGCCCUGGCUGCCUCCAGUGUGCCUGGAUCAGACUGGCUUGUUUGGGUCACCGGUGCCAAGUUUUUUCUUUCUUUUUCUUUUUUUCCAAUAAGAAUCUACGUCUGAGCAUGGACGGAAUCCCAGAAUCAAAUCACUGGAUCAAUACUUGGUCACCAAACACAUUCGAGACCUCAAAAGCUCAAAGGCUGUAGGGUAGGUACCCUUGCUACCUACUCUACCUACAGACAAAGACGCUGAGAAAUCAGAUAACUUGUCCAAGGUCAUGGACAGCUGGGACUAGACCCAUGGCUUGUCACACUCUACCAGCCUUAUUCUUAACCUCUCUGCCUGAUGCCUCUUGACCCACAUUCGACUUUGAAAAAGUUUUCGCACUUGGUUCAUCGGAAAAAGCCACACACAGCUGCCCGGAGGACUCUGUUAAUCAGUAGCUGGUUGCUUCUGGCCCAGUGGGCAACAUCAGAGGCAGAAAGUACAGUACAGAGAGAACCGCAGGCCAGCAGUUGCAUCUGAACCCACGCUCUUCCUCCCAGCCCUUUCCCUUGUCUUGACUCACAACCUAGUGUCCUCAGUAUCGCCCAGCACGUGAGGCAGCCGGUUCACUCCAGCCUUGACCAGGGCCAUCGCGGGAUCAGAGCCUCCUCUGUGAGAAUUAGAAAACAGUAUCUCUUCCUCAAGACCCUUGACUGCUAGGAAAUUGACACCAAAAACAUACAAAUCUACAAUGUCCAGUAUGUAGGUGAUGUGAAUGGCUGUCUCUUCAGUGUGCAGUGUGUACACCCUGCGCACCUAUACAAGGCAGCCCUGUCCAGGCCUCCAGACGUCCCAGUGCCACUGCCUGCUGUCAUGGGGUUCUAAUCUAAAGGGUGAGAUGCCAGUCCCGGGAGAAGGCUAAUGAUGAAAGGUUCCAGGAUAAAGGUUAAUAUACAAAAGUCAAUUACUUUCCUAAUGCCAGCAAUAAAGUGGAAUUUGAAAGUAAAAACAUAUUACCAUUUACAUUAGCAUCCCUCAGAAUUAAGGCCAGGCACAGUGGUUCACACCUGUAAUCCCAGAGUUUGGGAAACUGAGGCAGGUGGAUCACUUGAGGUCAGGAGUUUGAGACCAGCCUGGCCAACAUGGUGAAACACCAUCUCUACUAAAAAUACAAAAAUUAGCUGGGUGUGGUAUGUGUGUCUGUAGUCCCAGCUACUUGGGAGGCUGAGGCACAAGAAUCACUUGAACCCAGGAGGCAGAAGUUGUGGUGAGCCUAGUUCACGCCAUGGCACUGCAGCCUGGGUGACAGGGAGAGAAUCUGUCUCAAAAAAAGAAAUGCCUAGGUAUAAAUCUCACAAAAUAUGUACAAGAUCAGAGGAAAAUGAUAAAGCUCUGAUGAAAGGAAUCAAAGAACAACUAAAUAAAUAGAGAAAUAAUCCAUGUUCAUGGAUAGGAGACUCAAUAUUGUGAACUGAGCC